rnacentral:rRNA from 1 species
GACGAACGCUGGCGGCGUGCCUAAUACAUGCAAGUAGAACGCACAGUUUAUACCGUAGCUUGCUACACCAUAAACUGUGAGUUGCGAACGGGUGAGUAACGCGUAGGUAACCUGCCUGGUAGCGGGGGAUAACUAUUGGAAACGAUAGCUAAUACCGCAUAAUAUUAAUUAUUGCAUGAUAAUUGAUUGAAAGAUGCAAUUGCAUCACUACCAGAUGGACCUGCGUUGUAUUAGCUAGUAGGUGAGGUAACGGCUCACCUAGGCGGCGAUACAUAGCCGACCUGAGAGGGUGAUCGGCCACACUGGGGCUGAGACACGGCCCAGACUCCUACGGGAGGCAGCAGUAGGGAAUCUUCGGCAAUGGACGAAAGUCUGACCGAGCAACGCCGCGGGAGUGAAGAAGGUUUUCGGAUCGUAAAGCUCUGUUGUAAGAGAAGAACGGGUGUGAGAGUGGAAAGUUCACACUGUGACGGUAUCUUACCAGAAAGGGACGGCUAACUACGUG